AAGAGACUCAAUGAGGACUGAAUAAUGAAAUUGUGCUAUUAGAAGGUUAUGAAGAAUGGAAGAGGACCAAACAAACCU